UACGUAGGGGGCGAGCGUUACCCGGAUUUAUUGGGCGUAAAGAGCUCGUAGGCGGCUUGUUGCGUCGACCGUGAAAACCCGGGGCUCAACUUCGGGCUUGCGGUCGAUACGGGCGGGCUAGAGUUCGGUAGGGGAGACUGGAAUUCCUGGUGUAGCGGUGAAAUGCGCAGAUAUCAGGAGGAACACCGGUGGCGAAGGCGGGUCUCUGGGCCGAUACUGACGCUGAGGAGCGAAAGCGUGGGGAGCGAACAGG
rnacentral:rRNA from 1 species